ensembl:lncRNA
GGCCGGGUCGGAGGGGCCGCCGCCCUUGGCGUGUGGACGAGCCCCCACCCUGGGGUGCAGGGCCCCGAGAGAUCGGAGUUGAGGCGCGAGUGUGCACCCCUACCUGCCUUGCACACCAGCGCCGUGUGGAACCAGGCCAGGCCUAGUGAGUAGUGCAGGCCCUUGGGGCUCUAUUGUAUUUACCUUCUCGUGCGGUGGAGUAGGCGCUGUCCCUCCUCCUCCCUGGUUCCCCUGGUUCCUAGUCUCAUAGCUCUGGGUUGGAGAGAACUGGGAGCCCACAGACAGCCCUGCAAGUCUCUUGGGGUUUCUAGGCUUACAUUUCUACAUUUUUUUCCCUACCCAUGCCUUGUAAUUGGAGAGAGAAAAGCGAAGAGUUUAGAUUUGUGCUGUUUAGUAGUAUUACUUGCCUGUUUUACCAAUUCAUACGCCGCAUAAUCGGCUUUCAUCUCUGAAGCUAGGAAAACCAGAUGAGAUCAUGUGAAUCCCAAAUUCUUUAAUUUUGUUUGAGCACUAAAGAAUUUUUACAGAUCUUGACUCCAACCUCAUCAUCAUAUGGGAAACUGAAGACCAAGAUCAACAGAUCUUACAAAUUUAGUAAACUUCAGAUCUGGAACUAGAAGCUAGGUAAUUUUGCUCCACUUUAAGACCGUGGUAGUUUUCAGUCCUACCUGCACAGGAUUACCUGGGAUGCUUUAAAAAUACCACCUGGACCCAACCUGCCAUCAAAUGAAUAAUUUCCAGGAGUGGGACUCUGGUUGUGGGUAUAUUUUGAAAGUAACCCAAGUGAUUAAUGUAUAGCAAAAGUUGAGUGUGUGUGUGAAAUAGAUAAUGGAGAAGAAAGAAAAUCACAACUAAAAAGAGGAAAGCAAUCAAAAGACUACUUCUAAAGGGAACUAAAUUUUUUUACCUAAACUGAAAUACUAAAGUUUGGUAUCCCUACUUCCCUGUCAUAUGCAGUGACAAUGACAGUCAACAGUUUAGGCUAUGAAACUUGUGUCAAUAAAAUACACAAAGUACUCCCUUAGAUGAAAGUGGAACUAAAAAUAAUAAGAGUGGUGGAGAGGACACUACCUUAUUCAACUAUUUCUGAGCCACACUCUAAAAUAAAGAACACCUCCUUCCAUCCCCAACCCAAAUAUCAGACCCUAGCAGGACUAGAACACACACACUGUUCUGAAGCUGAAACUCCAAGGUUAAAACAGCUUAGUUAUUUCGAGUACAUAAAAGGCGAACUUAAAAGCAGUUGUCCAAAUCAGACAGUUUUGGAUUUAUUUGUUUUACAGUAGUGGGUUACCUCCUGAGCCCUGUACUAUUUUCUGCGGUCACAGAGCAUUCUGAGUGCCUGAGGCUGCCUCCCUACCCCACCUCCCGGCCCACACUGCCUGCCACCUGCCUGGAGACAAUGCCAACAUAUUAAGUAUAGUGGCCAUGAACCUGACUCACAGAGACACCUGGCUUUUUACAAGAAAGAAGCAGAAGAGAUACUGAGAGGAGGCCAAGCAGGACCUGUCAGAGGCGAUGCAGCUCGGGCCUCAUGGAUGGCUCAUCGUGUCUCUGUGAACGGAUGCGACAAUCAGCCACUGUGCAGUACUGAGAGUGGCUCUGCUGGCUGGGCCAGGUCUCACUGCCCGGGUCUCUCAACCCUGCUGCUCUACACUACCAUGGCACUCUGCCAGCAAGACGCUAUGCCAGAUGGGGCCCCCACUCUGCCUUGAGCUGAAAUCGCAAGCCAAAAUAUGCAUUUUUUUCUUUAUCAUUCACCCAGUGUGUGGUAUUGCUAUUAGCAACAGAAAACAGGUUGGGGCAGGGUGGGUUUAUGUUCUGCUAUGUGACUGGCUGCUGCUCCUGAUGUCCUACUCGCCUAGACUAUUGCUUUCACCUUAUCUCGAUGGAGCCUGAUCCAACUGCUCUUGUCCAUGUCCUGUACUCUGCCAGACACCAUGAAAUUCAAGAAACCACAUCCUAGAUCUGAUGAAAGGAGAUGCAAGGCUCACUAUCAGCUGUGUACUGAUGGGGCUCCUGACUUACUGGCAUCUCUUCAAUAUCACUUGUGUCAGGAACACAACAGCCUCUUCUCUGUGUAUUUGAGCUGACCCAUCUAAAUCUGCAGGCUUUCAGAGACGUAAGACAAAACACCAACUUCAACCGAUCUAACAAUGAGGGAAGUGUUGCUGCUGCAUGAGCCAGGCUUCAGAUUGACCUGACCAGAGCUCCGCCUCUGUUGCUGAUGUUGGG